rnacentral:rRNA from 1 species
AGAGUUUGAUCCUGGCUCAGGACGAACGCUGGCGGCACGCUUAACACAUGCAAGUCGAACGAGAGAAGAGGAGCUUGCUUUUCUGAUCUAGUGGCGGACGGGUGAGUAACACGUGAGCAAUCUGCCUUUCAGAGGGGGAUACCGAUUGGAAACGAUCGUUAAUACCGCAUAACAUAAUUGAACCGCAUGAUUUGAUUAUCAAAGAUUUAUCGCUGAAAGAUGAGCUCGCGUCUGAUUAGCUAGUUGGUAAGGUAACGGCUUACCAAGGCGACGAUCAGUAGCCGGACUGAGAGGUUGAUCGGCCACAUUGGGACUGAGACACGGCCCAGACUCCUACGGGAGGCAGCAGUGGGGAAUAUUGCACAAUGGAGGAAACCCUGAUGCAGCGAUGCCGCGUGAGGGAAGAAGGUUUUAGGAUUGUAAACCUCUGUCUUCAGGGACGAAAAAAGACGGUACCUGAGGAGGAAGCUCCGGCUAACUACGUGCCAGCAGCCGCGGUAAUACGUAGGGAGCGAGCGUUGUCCGGAAUUACUGGGUGUAAAGGGAGCGUAGGCGGGAUCGCAAGUCAGAUGUGAAAACUAUGGGCUUAACCCAUAAACUGCAUUUGAAACUGUGGUUCUUGAGUGAAGUAGAGGUAAGCGGAAUUCCUAGUGUAGCGGUGAAAUGCGUAGAUAUUAGGAGGAACAUCAGUGGCGAAGGCGGCUUACUGGGCUUUAACUGACGCUGAGGCUCGAAAGCGUGGGGAGCAAACAGGAUUAGAUACCCUGGUAGUCCACGCCGUAAACGAUGAUUACUAGGUGUGGGGGGACUGACCCCUUCCGUGCCGCAGCAAACGCAAUAAGUAAUCCACCUGGGGAGUACGACCGCAAGGUUGAAACUCAAAGGAAUUGACGGGGGCCCGCACAAGCAGUGGAGUAUGUGGAUUAAUUCGAAGCAACGCGAAGAACCUUACCAGGUCUUGACAUCGUAUGCAUAGCUCAGAGAUGAGUGAAAUCUCUUCGGAGACAUAUAGACAGGUGGUGCAUGGUUGUCGUCAGCUCGUGUCGUGAGAUGUUGGGUUAAGUCCCGCAACGAGCGCAACCCUUACUGUUAGUUGCUACGCAAGAGCACUCUAGCAGGACUGCCGUUGACAAAACGGAGGAAGGUGGGGAUGACGUCAAAUCAUCAUGCCCCUUAUGACCUGGGCCUCACACGUACUACAAUGGCUGUCAACAGAGGGAAGCAAAGCCGCGAGGUGGAGCGAACCCCUAAAAGCAGUCUUAGUUCGGAUUGUAGGCUGCAACCCGCCUACAUGAAGUCGGAAUUGCUAGUAAUCGCAGAUCAGCAUGCUGCGGUGAAUACGUUCCCGGGCCUUGUACACACCGCCCGUCACGCCAUGGGAGUCGGUAACACCCGAAGCCUGUAGUCUAACCGCAAGGAGGACGCAGUCGAAGGUGGGAUUGAUGACUGGGGUGAAGUCGUAACAAGGUA